CAAAAUACCGCCGUUUAUAACACAUGGAUUGACAAACAUUCCAAUAGCCGACUCUUGGAUCAUAACGCUCUACUGAGCUUAAUAUUAACAUGCAAGCGUGAAAUCUGGAAAACCAUGACUUUUUAAGUUCGUGGUGGACAAAAAAAGUAUGCCAGUUUAUCUUGGAAAUUUUUUUGAUUUUAUUAUACAAAACAAAUUAAAACUGAAGUGAAAAAUGACGUCAUACCCGUGCAUCUAUAGUUGUAUAUAAACAACGGUUAAAUGUAAUCUAUUUGUUCAUCAACUGCUAUGGCACCAUA